UUCUUUGAACGCAAGUUGCGCCCGAAGCCAUUCAGGCCGAGGGCACGCCUGCCUGGGCGUCGUAAAACCCCCUGCCCCCGGGCACCCGCGCCGCACCGGCGGGGACGUGCCCGGGCGCGGAAUGUGGCCUCCCGCGGGUUCGGCGUGCGCGUCGCGUCGAGUCGCGGUUGGUCGAAAAUCGAGCACGGCCGCGACGGGCCCCACGGCGAUCGGUGGAUCGAACGAGAUUGGCUGCGUCGUGGGCUCGGCAUGCGGAGGGCUCAGGACUUUGACGAUCCCGCAGCGCGAUCCCAGGUCAGGCGGGGCUACCCGCUGAGUUUAAGCAUAUCAAUAAGCGGAGGAAAAGAAACUAACGAGGAUUCCCUUAGUAGCGGCGAGCGAACCGGGAAGAGCCC
rnacentral:rRNA from 1 species